ensembl:lncRNA
GUUUAAUGUUUCUAAUGUUUUUACCUUUAUUGGCUAUGACUGCUUUACCAAAGUUACUUUUCAAAUUCAAAUUUUGUCAUGCAAAAUGCACAAAGACCCUUCACGUAGUGUGUAUCAAUUUAAUACAAAUUAAACUGCAUCUAGAUGUGUAGGUAAAAUAAAUGUACAAAUUUCCUUCUGGCCCGACACAAAUAGAGUAAUAUAGUGUACACCAGGAGGAUUGCCAUGAUCAGAAGAGCCACCUCAUCACGCCAGGACUCUGCAGUCUGUUUACACCUACAGGCCAGUGGACACUCUCAGUAAUGAGGAUGUAACAUCCUGGACAGGGAGGAACGCUGGUUUGAGGGCGGAGUCAAGGAAGACAUUUACGUGAAAAGGGAAAGACCAUGCAGGGCUCUAGACUUUUUUUUUUUUUUUCUUAGGCGCACCCAAAUUUUUCAACCGCAUCGCUUAACAUCGCAGUUUUACAUGUGCACCUUUUUUUGGGGGGGGGAUUGAUGAUUAACUAACAAUCUUGUGCUUGUGCUGAAAGUGCUUUGGCAAUAUUGUGGACAAUUUAAACUUAAUCAUCACAUCGGCCUCCUCUGACGACCUGUUGCUGCUGCCUGCCGCUGAAAGGCCGUGGGGGGAGGGAACGCUUGAGCAGUGCAUUCAUCAUGAUAUAUAAUGUGUUUCCUGGAUACACUGUGCUUUUUCAGCGUUUAAAGAUUCAUGGCUCUGUGUCAGAGCUGGCUAUGAACUUCAGACAGAUCAGGCCUUAACUUAGCAAAAAAGUUAUCAAUAGUUCUUAUCAUCUUUUCUUAUUACCCACAGCUACAUCCACUUUUGUUGGGCCUAGGCUGCUCACUAGGGCUGGGUAUCACUGAUUUCUGUAAGAAGGUGGUGUGAGCAUCACAGCAGAUGCCUUUGUGUCAAAGUAACUGAGAAUAAAACACAUAAAAACAUGAAGGAGAUUUUCCUGCCGUGGCUUUUUAUAGCAGAUAACCUUAAAAAUAUUCUGCAAUUUUGCAUAAUUGUAAAAGGUUUAAAUUUCUUCAUCAUAACAGCAGAAAUUACGCUUUCCUGUCCGAGGACAUUUAAGUAAAAAAAGAAAAAGAAAAACAAGACAGCGGCUGACAGCGCUGUAAACAACGGUAGACUCUAACGCAAAAAAGACGUAAACACAAAGUGCGACGCAUCAGAGUCAGUGAGCUGUCGGCUUUCAGCCCCGAUGCCGUGUCCGUCUACGGGCCGUUGGGUGAGAAAGCUGAUUCUGAUGCGUCCGCUCUGUGUUUACGUCUUUGUGCAAAACCAGUGUACCUGCUCUCAUUUACUGUUUGGUGGUUGUUGAAAUAGUUUUGUGAGCCUUAACCUGAGAUUGUGGCAUUUCUGGCAAAAUACAUUUAUAUUUAAAAGUUGAUUCAGGCCUGCUCCGCGGCUGCUGAGUGAGCCCUCAUCUGGGACUCUCCUCAGCUCUUACUGGGACAGUGGCGCAGCUGCCCCUCUGUUGGUCUUCCUUGGUCUGUUGUGUUCUGGGGGCCUCUGGAUGUCUGGAUUUUGAUCUCCUCCAUACCUACUUCAUGCCCUGGAGGACGGGGCUGUGGCCCCCCCACACCCUCUAGCAGAUCAUUACAUGAAGGAACCUUUUAAAAAACAAAAAACAAGCGCGUCCAUGCUCACAGGUGUACACACGGGUGAUCACACCCACAAACUACACCCUUUUUGGCUCCUACCUCAAAGCACACUGUGUUCUGUUGAUCUUAUGUGCUGCACAAUAAUGUUUAAUAUUUAGUAUUUACUGUCAUAUUCCCAUAUAUCAUUGUGAUGUUGUUUAUUCUAUUACUCUUGUUCUCUUCUGCUUGUUUUCUUUUUUUUCUUUCUCAACAGCUGAUCCAGGUGUAGAUGUAUUUUUUGUCUGCUUAUUUAGUUGUUUUUUGUUUUUUGCCCUUUAUCACCGUCCCUCUUCCCUGCUGUUUUUCUUUCCCUCUUUCUUUCUCCUCUUUCUUUUCCCCAGUCAAAUCUGUCCCGUAUUUAGCGGGUGAAAAUAAAAUAAAAUAAACAAUAAAAGGUGAAUCAAAUAGAUCAUUACGGCAAGGCUGGGAUGGUCCAUUUGGUAAAGUAAAUCCGUUGGGCAUCUUUCUUUGCCUUUAGACAAUAAUUCUGAUGGCAAAAGAGCCAAACGGGACAGGCAAAAAAAAAAAGAUGAUGUUUACUUGCUUUUCCUUCUAAGUUACUUUAUUUCUGUCGUAUAUUAUUUUCAGUCAUUGUCUACAAUUAUUUUUAUUAUCGUUAUAUACUAAUAAUAUUAUUGUUGUUACCUUUGCUGUCAUUGCU